rnacentral:rRNA from 1 species
UACAGAGGGUGCGAGCGUUAAUCGGAAUUAUGCGUGGGCGUAAAGCGUGCGUAGACGGUAGCGUAAGUCAGAUGUGAAAGCCCCGGGCUCAACCUGGGAAAUUGCAUUUGAGACUGGCUCUGCUCGGGUGCGGAAGAGGGAAGCGGAAUUUCCGGUGUAGCGGUGAAAAUGCGUAGAUAUCGGAAGGAACACCAGUGGCGGAAAGCGGCUUCCAUGGUCCCGACACCGGACCGUUCAGGCACGAAAGC